UACGUAGGGGGCAAGCGUUGUCCGGAUUUAUUGGGCGUAAAGAGCGUGUAGGCGGCUUGGUAGGUCCGCUGUGAAAACUCGAGGCUCAACCUCGAGAUGGCGGCGGAAACCGCUUGGCUAGAGUCCGGAAGAGGAGAGUGGAAUUCCCGGUGUAGCGGUGAAAUGCGCAGAUAUCGGGAAGAACACCGAUGGCGAAGGCAGCUCUCUGGGACGGUACUGACGCUGAGACGCGAAAGCGUGGGGAGCAAACAGG
rnacentral:rRNA from 1 species